rnacentral:rRNA from 1 species
UUUUGUAAGGGAUAAAGUGUGGGACGCGUCUGUUUGUAUGUACUUACGAAUAAGCAUCGGCUAACUCCGUGCCAGCAGCCGCGGUAAUACGGAGGAUGCGAGCGUUAUCCGGGAUUUAUUGGGUUUAAAGGGUGCGUAGGUUGGCUUUUAAGUCAGCGGUGAAGUCUUCCGGCUUAACCGGGAAACUGCCGUUGAAACUGGGAGCCUUGAGUGUAAACGAGGCAGGCGGAAUUCGUAGUGUAGCGGUGAAAUGCAUAGAUAUUACGAAGAACCCCGAUAGCGCAGGCAGCUUGCCAGGCUACAACUGACACUGAAGCACGAAAGUGUGGGUAUCAAACAGGAUUAGAUACCCUGGUAGUCCACACAGUAAACGAUGAUUACUCGCUGUUUGCGAUAAACAGUAAGCGGCCAAGCGAAAGCGAUAAGUAAUCCACCUGGGGAGUACGCCGGCAACGGUGAAACUCAAAGGAAUUGACGGGGGCCCGCACAAGCGGAGGAACAUGUGGUUUAAUUCGAUGAUACGCGAGGAACCUUACCCGGGCUCGAACGGCGAUAGAAUAUGAUGGAAACAUUAUAGCCAGCAAUGGCUGUCGUCGAGGUGCUGCAUGGUUGUCGUCAGCUCGUGCCGUGAGGUGUCGGCUUAAGUGCCAUAACGAGCGCAACCCUUACCGGGAGUUACCAUCUGGUCAAGCAGGGGACUCUUCCGGGACUGCCACCGUAAGGUGCGAGGAAGGUGGGGAUGACGUCAAAUCAGCACGGCCCUUACGUCCGGGGCGACACACGUGUUACAAUGGGGGGGACAAAGGGCAGCUACUUAGCGAUAAGAUGCGAAUCUCCAAACCCUCUCCCAGUUCGGAUAGGAGUCUGCAACCCGACUCCUUGAAGCUGGAUUCGCUAGUAAUCGCGCAUCAGCCAUGGCGCGGUGAAUACGUUCCCGGGCCUUGUACACACCGCCCGUCAAGCCAUGGAAGCCGGGAGUACCUGAAGUACGUAACCGCAAGGAUCGUCCUAAGUACCCCGN